CCCUUCUGGUUGCACAUCAGCUCCUUUUUCCAAUCCCAUGCUCUGCUCUCCUCAUGCCCCUCCUCCUCUUGCUCCUCCUAUGUAUUUUUUAAUUUCUUUUGUGCGAUUUUACUCCAUGGUGCUUGCACGUCCAUGUAUCUAGAAGUAGCAUGUUCAUUCUUCUUAGUUCAUGUUUUAUGUGUAGCAUUUCGUAGGCUAAAAAAUGAAAGGAGAUGUGAUGAUACUGUCUUUUGACUCCCUCCAUGCUACAUGUACAGAAUUUAUAGUUGCCAGGCAUAUGGUGGACUAAUCAAAUGCAAGCUAUGAGGAGCUAAAAGAAGUAGGAUAUUACGAGCAAGGGACUCUACCUUUAUGGGUUUGAUUGUUGUCGCAUAAUCAAUGGACUGCACCAACUGCUAUUGAAGAAGUAUAUGUAGAAUGCAUAGUUAUGGUGUGAUAGGGCCAGUGUUGUUGUCUGACAGUUGUGCAUUCUUCACCUUGGAUGGUCAAAGAUAUGUUCGCUAGCCUGAUGCUGCUCCAUCGGUGGAUCUACAGAUUGUUCUAUUAUGAAGUAUUGGUUUAUUAUUGAGGUAGCCUUAGACGGAGGAGCUGAAUGCAGUUUUUGUAUCUUUUUUCAAUGUCCUGAAUGGUCCCAUGAAAAUCCUGGCUAAGAGCCAUGAAUAGGAGCAAGGCAGCACACUACACCUCUGAGAAGAAAAGGAUAUGAAGACAAAGAUAGAUCAGUGUUCUGCUCCGAAGCAAAAACAUUUUGCAUGUAAUAAUGAACUGUAAUUUACCACAAUCUCUCUAAAACAGCCUACUUAGUACCA